CUGGGUGUUUCUGCCUCCGAACCUCCGUCUGGUCCGAGCGGAUCCGGGAGGAGGAGCGACCAGGAGGCGGACAUGGCGGUGCCCAGCCCGGGAUAACCACCGCUCCGCUCCACCGGGGACCAACUUUCUCCGAUUAUGCGACGAAAUGAAUAAAAUCACAAUGUUUGGAGAAAACCGAUGCUGCAGCGUUGCAACUGUCCAAACUUUUGCCGGCAGAUUUCCAAAUGCAGGAACGGCUUUUCCAGGGAAAUGAAGCGGCUGUGUUCAGGUUAAAACCCCGCGGAUCCUUCACCUCUGCUGGGAACACCGUGUUCACCGUCACUGCAAGUUUCUCCAACUUCUCCACCACGAAAAAACACAUGAAAGGGUUAAUUCAUCAGCUACGGGAAGUGUGGGGGAUUCUUUCCAGGAAGUGAUGAAAACUCUUCUGUUGACAACAGACGCGGUGACGAGGGUGCGAACAGCAAUCGGUGGCUCCUCCUCUCUGACUCGCUCACACUUUUACCUGCCAGAUGUUUGGAGGUGAAAAGAACUGAAAAGACUCUUAUCUGAAUGUGGAAACAUUUCAGUUUCAUAUGACAUGAAGCUGAGUUGGAGAAAAUAGAACCAGGAGCAUCAGAACCACAGAUCCACACCGAACCUUUUCUGUCCUUCUAAGACAGACAGCAGCUUCCUGCUAUGUAUUCUGUAUAAAAUACAUUUUUGUACAGGAGGAAUAUUAAAUGCAAAUUUACUCAAAGUA